rnacentral:rRNA from 1 species
CUACGGGUGGCAGCAGUGGGGAAUAUUGGACAAUGGGGGAAACCCUGAUCCAGCAAUGCCGCGUGUGUGAAGAAGGCCUGCGGGUUGUAAAGCACUUUCGGUUGGGAGGACUGCUUCUAGCACUAAUAUUGUUGGAAGUUGACGUUACCUUCAGAAGAAGCACCGGCUAACUCCGUGCCAGCAGCCGCGGUAAUACGGAGGGUGCAAGCGUUAAUCGGAAUUACUGGGCGUAAAGCGCGCGUAGGCGGCUAGAUCAGUCGGGUGUGAAAGCCCCGGGCUUAACCUGGGAACUGCAUCCGAUACUGUCUAGCUUGAGUACAGGAGAGGAGAGUGGAAUUCCACAUGUAGCGGUGAAAUGCGUAGAUAUGUGGAGGAACACCAAUGGCGAAGGCGAUCUCCUGGAACAUUACUGACGCUAAGGUGUGAAAGCGUGGGGAGCAAACAGGAUUAGAUACCCGCGUAGUC